AUUGAACGCUGGCGGAAUGCUUUACACAUGCAAGUCGAACGGCAGCACGGGGGCAACCCUGGUGGCGAGUGGCGAACGGGUGAGUAAUUCAUCGGAACGUGCCCGGUCGUGGGGGAUAACGUAGCGAAAGUUACGCUAAUACCGCAUACGAUCUGAGGAUGAAAGCCGUGGACCUUUAGUCCUCGCGCGUUUGGAUCGGCCUAUGUCAGAUUAGGUAGUUGGUUGGGUAAAGGCGUACCAAGCCGACGAUCUGUAGCUGGUCUGAGAGGACGACCAGCCACACUGGAACUGAGACACGGCCCAGACUCCUACGGGAGGCAGCAGUGGGGAAUUUUGGACAAUGGGCGCAAGCCUGAUCCAGCCAUUCCGCGUGCAGGACGAAGGCCUUCGGGUUGUAAACUGCUUUUGUAUGGAAAGAAAAGGCUCUGGCUAAUACCUGGGGCUCAUGACGGUACCGUAAGAAUAAGCACCGGCUAACUACGUG
rnacentral:rRNA from 1 species